ACGUAGGUGGCAAGCGUUGUCCGGAAUUAUUGGGCGUAAAGGGCGCGCAGGUGGUUUCUUAAGUCUGUCUUAAAAGUGCGGGGCUUAACCCCGUGAGGGGACGGAAACUGGGAGACUAGAGUAUCGGAGAGGAAAGCGGAAUUCCUAGUGUAGCGGUGAAAUGCGUAGAUAUUAGGAGGAACACCAGUGGCGAAAGCGGCUUUCUGGACGACAACUGACACUGAGGCGCGAAAGCCAGGGGAGCAAACGG
rnacentral:rRNA from 1 species